rnacentral:rRNA from 1 species
UAAUGAUGGGUAGGGGAGCUUCCCAUACGGGUUGAAGCAUGACCGUAAGGACAUGUGGACAGUAUGGGAGUGAGAAUGUUGGCAUGAGUAGCGAGAUGUGGGUGAGAAUCCCACAGGCCGUAAACCCCAGGUUUCCAGGGGAAGGUUCGUCCGCCCUGGGUUAGUCGGGACCUAAGCUGAGGCCGAAAGGCGUAGGUGAUGGACAACAGGUUGAUAUUCCUGUACUACCGAUAACCAUUUGAGAGAAGGGAUGACACAGUA